rnacentral:lncRNA from 1 species
CUUCACCAUUCUUCAGAAGAAAACCGCGACUCCAACCUCCUCAAUACCGCACACCAUUUCCAUUUACUCUCUACACCAUCAUUCCCCAAAACCACAACCCCAUUUACCCACCUUGUAAUCAUCGACCGAGGGGAAGGAGAGAGAGCUGCACUUACAGCCGAGAGGAAGGAAAGGUAACUGCGAGCUCUUCGUUUCUGUUCUGUCCGUGAGCUGAGGGGAGAGAAUCGGACACCACUCUGCACUUCCAAGACCUCCACCAGCUGAGCUCAACCACACCCACCAACUUCACAGCCUACGCAAACCAAACUCAGCCAGCCAUACUUUACUUCCAUAGCCAGCCGAGAGGAAAAUGUUGCAGCAAACCAUCGUGUGAGCUGAGCUCUUAACUGAGGUAAUUUCUAGGCUAAUUAAGUUAAGCAUUAGCAGAGAAAGUCUUAUCAGAGAUUGCAUGUGAUGUUUGUGCAGGUGGUUGAUGGAUUUAAGUCACUAGAAAAUCUCUGUUUCGGUUAUAUGUUCUGCCGUGAGUUGGUUUGGAAGUAUGCAGCUUCAAUUGGUUUAAAUUUUGAUGUUUUGAGCCUCAGACCAUGAUUAGCUAGUUAAUGGCUAGUUAAGUAAGCUCUGCAUGUGGUUAAUCAAUUAGUUAAACCAGAAGAGAAAAAUUAAACAAAACAGAAAUCUGGUGCAUGAAUGAUCAUUCGACAAUAGCUGGAAAAUUUCUGGAACUUUUGGGGAUAAUUACUCCGUGAUGAACUUAACUUUUGUGCUAGAAAUGUUCAUCAGUUGGUUAAACAUCUGCAUGUGCAUUUUGAGUACCUUAAUACUCUGUUUUAGCCAAGGAAAAAGUUGUAAUAAGAAUAUACAAUUGCUGGAAAAUUUCGUGAACUGCCGUGAGGGUUGAACCUGGAAAUUUUGAGGUUUAUGACCAUUGUUUGAAAUUAAUUCCGAACUGGAAGUGUUAAUGGGCUAAGAUAAGUUAAUGCAUGACAAAUUUGAGUAACUAACACCAUGUUUAAACCAAGGAAAUUUGAACUAAAGUUGAAUGGUUUGCUGGAAAAUCUUUGAAGCCGCAAGCAAGGUUGAACCAGAAAUUUCAGUUUGCCUUUAGAAAGUUUAAUUGGUUUCUGAACAUUUAUUUUAUUGUCUCCUUGGACUAUGAUGGUCUUGAGCUACAUAAGAGAUGCAAAAUUUAAGUUGUUGGGCGAGGAAAUAUUUAAUAUAUUGAAGGAUUGAAUUAAAGAGGUUAGUAUACAAAUGCUGGAAUUUCCUUUGUGAUGGCCGAAGGUUGAGUUGGAAGCUCAACUUAGUUUCGAAAUUUUUCUUCGAAUCAUGAAGGAUGGAAAUGCCUGGAAUAUGUUGUUUUGGAAUUAUAUAAGAAAUGUAUGGAUGGUUUGAAUAAAAACAUUUUGGUGCAAAAAGAGAAAAAGGAGUUUUUCACAAGUGGAAAAUGAAAUUCCAGAUUUUCGGAAGUCCCUGACCAGUCUCAGUAAAACGUUUAUAUCUUGGUGUAGGAAAACCCGAUUAAGGCGCCGUCAGUGGCAUUUGAAACUAGAAUCAUAGACCCUUGCCCUGUAGAAAUUUCGUAUUUUUCCUCCAUGUGUACUGCUGUCGGUGAAUUUUCAAAGUAGACUGUUUUGCAUGAAUGUUCUGUUUCUUUGUGAAUCUAAACUUGGAAUUGGAUUGAGACUUUAGCUUACUUGUGGUUUAAAUUCCUGACUGGAUUGUGGCUGGAAGUAAUAGAUGUUGUCAAGGGCUAAUAAUUGAUGAAGCCCUUGGCCAUUUGAAUGACUUUAUAAGUACUACUGGGUAAUGAAAGUUAAUUGCUGGAACGCCUUGGAGGCUUUACUUUUAUUGUACUUGCUUAUAAUGGGUUUGCUGAAACCAAGUGCUUGAUGAAGCCUUGGUUGUUUAUUUUACUUUUAUUAAGAAAUGCAAUUGUUGAAAUGGUAGAUAGUGGGCUCUAUGAAUUCCCACCCUGAAUGGAUAACUGAAUUGCUGAAAUUGUUUAGAAAUCGGUGCUACUAUUUUGUGAAACUGUGAGUUGAUAUAAGUACUGAUUACCAAGUGCUAAGUAUCGACGAAGCCUUGGUAAAUUUUCCUGCUUAUGCUUAGAUAUAAAUUUGUUGGAACACAGGGCUAAAAAUUGACGAGCUCUAGUGUUAUUACUGUUUAAAUUCUAAUUGUGCAAUAUUGAGAAAAUGUGAUUUUGGAUUGGAAUCGAAAAUGUGAGAAGUUGUACCGACCUUGUGACUCCAAGUAAACGCUUGACUAAGUAAAUGAAAAAUAUUUUGCUUUAAAUCUUGAACGGUACAGAUUUAGCAUCAUACUACUAAACAUAGUAUCUACUAUUUUUGCCUUAGAAACUUGGGCAACAUGACUUUUACCCCUUAAGUUAGACUAGCCUUAUUAAUUUGGGAAAAUGAUUCUCCCAGACUCAAAACCUUAGUUUUGUUUCAAAUUCCUUCCUUCUUUAUAAAUCGUCUAAGGCUAGUUGUAACUAAGGAAAAGUUUAAAAGGUGAGUCUUGAUCACCUUAGCGAUAUGCAUAGAAACUCGCUCGGCAAGAAAGACCUUAUUUUCUUUUAGCAAAGCAGCUUUAGCAACAUUUGUAUAAGAAACCUUAUCCUGAAACCUUAGCAAUAAAUUUUGCAAGCACCGCCACUCAAAGGAACUUUUUCGCAAGGUAUACUCUUAGCCUCGAUAUUAAAUAGCUUGCCGACUUAUUUUAAGAAAAUAAUAAUAGUAUUUUUCUUUAAGGGAAGAGUAUUUCAGGAGAACGAUGAAAAGUAUGGUACUGUUCUCACAAGCUUGAUUCCAAGUAAAUAUUUUGAGAAAAGUAAGCUAGCUACACGCUAGAUAAACUCUACAUGUGCAAGCCGAAAGUUCCAAUAGAAAACUUAUGGCUUAAAUUCUGAUAUGUUAGGAUUUUACGAGGACGCAGAAUUUGAUUCCCAAUUUGACAUCUGAACUUCACUCUUGGUGAGUGUCUCUGCUUGUUCUAUGCUUAUUUGAUUAAAAUGCUUCCUUGAAUCCUGCUGUUCUAUUCCUACGUGAUUAAAGUGCUUCCUUAAAUCAAAAUGUGAUAUUUGUAAAAAUUAGUUUUUGGAUCCAUCGAAGUGAGCAGUGUGUACUUUAUCGCACUAGCCGUUCGAGUGGUGACUUGUGUGAAUCCUUUCUCUCAUAAAUCUAACUACAAUAAGUGAAUCCGUGAAUCCGUGAAUCUAAUUGUAGUUAUGUCGCUGGGUGAAUCCCUCGACCUAUAAAUGAAAUUACGGAAAUGUCGCUGGGUGAAUUCCCCGACCAAUUUCCUAAGGAUAUACAUAAGUAUACUCCUCCCAAAUAUUUACGGGUAUAUCUCAAGUAUACUACGUAUUUAGUUGUAGUGCGGGCCCGGGGCAGGGGUAUGAAUGGUGGAAGGUUAGGAAACAAAAUAAGAGAAUCUACAUGGAUCAUAAGUAGUGAGAGUUGACGGAGGGUCAACUACGAUGGUUUCUGAUCAAGCGAGGAAUCUGGCUCCUGAGAGCCCCUGUAUCCUACCUUGUGCUGUUACACGCUUUUCUAAUUGCCUAAAUUGUUUAAAUUAUUAUCCGUUGUUUGAUUUAUGUGAUUGCAUGUUUUGGGGCACCACUGAGCUUUAGCUCACCCCACGUUUAUUGUUUUCCUUAACAGGUUCUGGAAGUUGAAAGCUGGAAUGCUUACUUGUAUUUCUUUUUUUUCGGAAUGUACUGAAUACUAUGACUUAUUUUGUGGGCUGUAUUGUAUUUGAUUCGGAUGGCGUGCUUUUUAUUUUGGAUUGCCACUUGAAGCUGGAAAAUGUGUAAACCCUGACUUGAAUACUUAGUGUGUAAGUUGUAAUAGGGAUUUACGUAUUCAUCUACUCUGAUUUGUAUGACGUUAUAUCUUGGUUUGUAAGUUUGGAUUACAGAGGUUUGUAACUAUCUACCCGGUGUGGUACGACGUUAUGCCUUGGUGUGUAGUACGUGGGAAGUUGAAGAGCUUCCAUAGGCUGUUUUUAACCCCAUUAUCUCUGAAGUUAAUGUGAAUUUAAGGAUGACCCUAUUCGGGAAAAAUUGUUUUAA